UGAAAGGAAUAAUUAAUAUUGAAGAUACGUGAGAUUGAUUUUCUACCCUUCUUAUUGCCAUCAUCAUCAUUAUCUUAAACAAAAUUAAUUCAUUGUAAACGCCCUUUAUUCAUCUUAACGACUAACGUAUUAUUGAAUAGAAUUAAAUUAUAUAACAAGUUUGAAGGAGUUGGAUUUAUCAUAUAAUGCAAUUGAAGGCUUUAAAUCUUCACAUAGUAGGAAUUGAUCUUUUAUUUCUUUCAUAUUUUUUUUGUUAAAUUAGCUACAAU
rnacentral:misc_RNA from 1 species